rnacentral:lncRNA from 1 species
CGGCCUCAGGCAAUCCAUCUGUUUUUGUUUUCUGUACCACAUUUCCUUCUCUAUAUUUUUUGCCCUGGGCUUUGAGAUACUGCUUCAACUUGAGCUUUUGGGGAACUAAUUAGUGUUUCAACAGCACAGCAGAGACAGCAUUUCACAAAGCAAAACUGCUCCCUAAUCUCAGAUAUUUGCCUGCCCAAUUAGCUGGAGGCUCCUUGAUGGCAGAGACUGCCUCCUUGGUAUCCCCAGCACACAGCACAGAACCUGGCACAUACAACCCCGAGAGCACAUCACAGUAUGGAGAAAACAUAAGAUCAAAGAAGCAUGCAACACUGAGCUAUCACACGGA